rnacentral:rRNA from 1 species
UACGUUCCCGGGUCUUGUACCACACCGCCCGUCACACCAUGGGAGCGGGUUUACCAGAAGUAGGUAGCUUAACCGCAAGGGGGGCGCUUACCACGGUAGGAUUCGGUGACGUGGGGUG